rnacentral:rRNA from 1 species
AUGAACGCUGGCGGCGUGCCUAAUACAUGCAAGUCGAGCGAACGGACGAGAAGCUUGCUUCUCUGAUGUUAGCGGCGGACGGGUGAGUAACACGUGGAUAACCUACCUAUAACACUGGGAUAACUUCGGGAAACCGUAGCUAAUACCGGAUAAUAUUUUGAACCGCAUGGUUCAAAAGUGAAAGACGGUCUUGCUGUCACUUAUAGAUGGAUCCGCGCUGCAUUAGCUAGUUGGUAAGGUAACGGCUUACCAAGGCAACGAUGCAUAGCCGACCUGAGAGGGUGAUCGGCCACACUGGAACUGAGACACGGUCCAGACUCCUACGGGAGGCAGCAGUAGGGAAUCUUCCGCAAAGGGCGAAAGCCUGACGGAGCAACGCCGCGUGAGUGAUGAAGGUCUUCGGAUCGUAAAACUCUGUUAUUAGGGAAGAACAUAUGUGUAAGUAACUGUGCACAUCUUGACGGUACCUAAUCAGAAAGCCACGGCUAACUACGUG